UUUUAUAUAGUAGGGCUACGGUUGAGGAUCAGAAGCCAAGAGUUGAAAGCGUGCCUCGGUAUUGCUCGCGGGAACCAAACCGAUGAUGUCCAAGCUUCAUCCCCAAUCUCUCCUCUCAGGUGGCAGACGCCAGCUUCCAUUCCGAUAGAGAGAGGCCACCGUUGCAUUCAGGGGAAUGCCAAACCUCGAGUUUGAAGCUGCUUGUAGUGCGGUGAUGCAUCCCUCCGGCGCCUAGUUAUGGGUCCAGAAACAGGCAGUACAACCAUUCUCCAGAUUCAUCUUGAUGAGAGGGAAGAUAACUGAGCGUGCUUUGAUCAACUUUCUUACGAGCCAAGAAUGAGAUUGGCUUGGCCUAAUGGUCCAGUAGUUAUCCAGCGAGCCUUUGAGUAUCACCUCCUUAAACCAGGAAGCCCAGACAGAGUCUUCUCGAAAGAACACCAGCCAGAUCAGGCGCAUUGCACAAGCCUUAUUCCAGGAUAAAUGAAGAGCACCAGAAAAUUGUGAUACCAGCAACAACCAUCUUUAUAAGGAGAAGCCUACCAGAGUAUGAUAGUGAUUUUACCGACCAUGAAGAGAAUCUACUUUGAUCAUACGCAUAACCCAUUAUUAACCAAAUAGCUAACCCAUUAUUAACCAAAAAAUUGAUCAUACGCAUAAAGGCGAUUUCUAAAGCAUAAAAGCCGGUCAAUAUAGUCAAAUUAACAUUUUCUAUAUUGGCUUUGAUUA